rnacentral:rRNA from 1 species
AUUGAACGCUGGCGGCAGGCCUAACACAUGCAAGUCGAGCGGAUGAAGGGAGCUUUCUCCUGGAUUCAGCUGCGGACGGGUGAGUAAUGCCUAGGAAUCUGCCUGGUAGUGGGGGAUAACGUCCGGAAACGGGCGCUAAUACCGCAUACGUCCUUAGGGAGAAAGUGGGGGAUCUUCGGACCUCACGCUAUCAGAUGAGCCUAGGUCGGAUUAGCUAGUUGGUGGGGUAAAGGCCUACCAAGGCGACUAUCCGUAACUGGUCCGAGAGGAUGAUCAGUAAAACUGGAAGUGAGAAACGGUCAAGACACCAACGGGAGGCAGAAGGGGGGAAAAUUGGAAAAGGGGCGAAAGACUGAACCAGAAAUGCCGCGUGUGUGAAGAAGGUCUUCGGAUUGUAAAGCACUUUAAGUUGGGAGGAAGGGCAGUAAGUUAAUACCUGGCUGUUUUGACGUAACCAGCAGAAUAAGCACCGGCAAACUUGGU